rnacentral:rRNA from 1 species
AACGCGAAGAACCUUACCUGGGUUUGAACUGCAGUGGACCGGUACAGAAAUGUACCUUCUCUUCGGAGCCGCUGUGGAGGUGCUGCAUGGCUGUCGUCAGCUCGUGUCGUGAGAUGUUGGGUUAAGUCCCGCAACGAGCGCAACCCUUGUCCUGUGUUGCCAUCAUUAAGUUGGGCACUCUCAGGAGACCGCCAGCGAUAAGCUGGAGGAAGGUGGGGAUGAUGUCAAGUCAUCAUGGCCUUUAUGUCCAGGGCUACACACGUGCUACAAUGGCCGGUACAAAGCGCUGCAAACUCGCAAGAGGGAGCUAAUCGCAAAAAACCGGUCUCAGUUCGGAUCGCAGGCUGCAACUCGCCUGCGUGAAGCUGGAAUCGCUAGUAAUGCCGUAUCAGAACGAUGGCGUGAAUACGUUCCCGGGCCUUGUACACACCGGUACUA